GAAGAAGGAGAAGAGGAGGAGGAGAGAGAGAGAGAUAAAUAUACCCAUUGAGAGAGAGGAGCUGCUUUGUUUCUUUUUUUGUUUGUGUGAGGUGGCUAGUGGGGUUUUAAUUUUAUUUUGGUAAAAAACAGUUAAAAAAAAAUUACUGUUCCCUCAAAGAGUCGUCGCCUUAGGAGCCCCGUCGCCUCUCGCCUCUGUUAUUGAGGCGCCGCCUUCUCAAAGCCAAGCUAGGCGGUGCUAGGCAAGGCUCUAGAGGGUUGCCUUGCCUCAACUGGCACCUCUGUUGCCUCUAGCAACACUGAUAACUAUUACUUUUCUAGCUGAG
rnacentral:misc_RNA from 1 species